UGAGUAACCUGCCCUUAACUCUGGGAUAAGCCUGGGAAACUGGGUCUAAUACCGGAUAUACCUCAUGGACUGCAUGGUUUGUGGGGGAAAGCUCCGGCGGAGAAGGAUGAGCUCGCGGCCUAUCAGCUAGUUGGUGUGGGUAAUGGCCCACCAAGGCGACGACGGGUAGCCGGCCUGAGAGGGUGACCGGCCACACUGGGACUGAGACACGGCCCAGACUCCUACGGGAGCAG
rnacentral:rRNA from 1 species